AACGAACGUUGGCGGCGUGGAUUAGGCAUGCAAGUCGAACGAAUCCCACUCGGGUAACUGGGUGGGGGAAGUGGCGAAAGGGGCAGUAAGGCGUGGACAACCUGCCCGGGGGACGGGGAUAGCCAUUCUAACGAGUGGGUAAUACCCGGCGACCUGGUCUCGGGGCAUCUCGAAGCCAGCAAAGGAGAUUCGCCCCCGGAGGGGUCACAGUAUUACCUUGUUGGCGGGGUAACGGCCCACCAAGGGGAAGAUGC
rnacentral:rRNA from 1 species